UUAAUACAAAAUUUACUUCCAUUUGUGUUUUUUUCCAUAGUUUUGGUGACCUGGCUAUUAGUUCAAAAUAUGGAAAAUAGUUCAAAAUGGACCCAAACAUUUCUUAAAAAAGUACCCUGUGAAACCUGCUGGUGUAAACUUACCUCUGAUUGGGACUCACUGAUGUAAUGGACAAACAAGCACAAAAUGUGUCGAUACCCACAUCAAAUCUCCCAGGUUUCUUUUACAGUGAUUUGCGUACAGCUUCACCCUUGGCCAGAGUGCAGUUGUGAAACUGGAAGUGACAGUGCCAGGUUCCCUGCUGAACUUGGCUGAGGUCAGUGUCUGGUCAAAUGGAGUCGGGCCUGUGCGUCUGUGGGGGUGCAGAUGAAGUGGUCAGCGGU
rnacentral:lncRNA from 1 species